AGCGGCGGACGGGUGAGUAACGCGUGGGUAACCUGCCUCAUACAGGGGGAUAACAGUUGGAAACGGCUGCUAAUACCGCAUAAGCGCACAGUACCGCAUGGUACCGUGUGAAAAACUCCGGUGGUAUGAGAUGGACCCGCGUCUGAUUAGGUAGUUGGUGGGGUAACGGCCUACCAAGCCGACAUCAGUAGCCGACCUGAGAGGGUGACCGGCCACAUUGGGACUGAGACAUGGCCCAA
rnacentral:rRNA from 1 species